rnacentral:rRNA from 1 species
AGAGUUUGAUCCUGGCUCAGAUUGAACGCUGGCGGCAGGCCUAACACAUGCAAGUCGAACGGUAGCACAGAGAGCUUGCUCUCGGGUGACGAGUGGCGGACGGGUGAGUAAUGUCUGGGAAACUGCCUGAUGGAGGGGGAUAACUACUGGAAACGGUAGCUAAUACCGCAUAACGUCGCAAGACCAAAGAGGGGGACCUUCGGGCCUCUUGCCAUCAGAUGUGCCCAGAUGGGAUUAGCUAGUAGGUGGGGUAACGGCUCACCUAGGCGACGAUCCCUAGCUGGUCUGAGAGGAUGACCAGCCACACUGGAACUGAGACACGGUCCAGACUCCUACGGGAGGCAGCAGUGGGGAAUAUUGCACAAUGGGCGCAAGCCUGAUGCAGCCAUGCCGCGUGUAUGAAGAAGGCCUUCGGGUUGUAAAGUACUUUCAGCGGGGAGGAAGGUGUUGUGGUUAAUAACCGCAGCAAUUGACGUUACCCGCAGAAGAAGCACCGGCUAACUCCGUGCCAGCAGCCGCGGUAAUACGGAGGGUGCAAGCGUUAAUCGGAAUUACUGGGCGUAAAGCGCACGCAGGCGGUCUGUCAAGUCGGAUGUGAAAUCCCCGGGCUCAACCUGGGAACUGCAUUCGAAACUGGCAGGCUAGAGUCUUGCAGAGGGGGGUAGAAUUCCAGGUGUAGCGGUGAAAUGCGUAGAGAUCUGGAGGAAUACCGGUGGCGAAGGCGGCCCCCUGGACAAAGACUGACGCUCAGGUGCGAAAGCGUGGGGAGCAAACAGGAUUAGAUACCCUGGUAGUCCACGCCGUAAACGAUGUCGACUUGGAGGUUGUGCCCUUGAGGCGUGGCUUCCGGAGCUAACGCGUUAAGUCGACCGCCUGGGGAGUACGGCCGCAAGGUUAAAACUCAAAUGAAUUGACGGGGGCCCGCACAAGCGGUGGAGCAUGUGGUUUAAUUCGAUGCAACGCGAAGAACCUUACCUACUCUUGACAUCCAGAGAACUUUCCAGAGAUGGAUUGGUGCCUUCGGGAACUCUGAGACAGGUGCUGCAUGGCUGUCGUCAGCUCGUGUUGUGAAAUGUUGGGUUAAGUCCCGCAACGAGCGCAACCCUUAUCCUUUGUUGCCAGCGGUCCGGCCGGGAACUCAAAGGAGACUGCCUUCGUAAGGAGGAGGAAGGUGAGGACGACGUCAAGUCAUCAUGGCCCUUAUGGCUAGGGCUACACACGUGCUACAAUGGGGCGUACAGAGAGUUGCGAUACCGCGAGGUGGAGCUAAUCUCACAAAGCGUCUCUCAGUUCGGAUUGAAGUCUGCAACUCGACUUCAUGAAGCUGGAAUCACUAGUAAUCGUAGAUCAGCAAUGCUACGGUGAAUACGUUCCCGGGUCUUGUACUCACCGCCCGUCACACCAUGGGAGUUGAUUUCACCCGAAAUUGGGAAGCUAACCUUCGGGGGGCUACCACUUACGGUGGAAUUAGCGACUGGGGUGAAGUCGUAACAAGGUAACC